ACUCAACUGACGAGUCCCAAAUGGGACGAAGUGGGAGUCCUGAAU
rfam:Schistosoma mattheei strain Denwood, Zambia genome assembly, scaffold: SMTD_scaffold0015105